UCCCUGGUGGCUCAGACGGUAAAGAAUCCGCCUGCAAUGCGGGAGACCUGGGUUCGAUCCCUGGGUUGGGAA
rfam:TPA: Bos taurus chromosome 26, whole genome shotgun sequence.